UUAGAGAAACUAUGUAGGAAGCAAUUAGCUACUGUAGCUUCUCCCUACUUAAAAUGAUUUUUCGAGGCUAUAUUGCAAUAUGCAGUUGGUCAUACCAAUUCAGUAUGUAACUGUUGGUGUUAAAAAUACCAUUUAUUCAAUCUCAACUUCAAGAAUCAAAUUGAGUGGAGAGAAAUAACAGUUCUUUACUUGACCCACUCUGCAUUUCCACUCCCAUUUGAUGCCCAACACACAGCUUUGUUGCACAUAUUGUAUGAGUGUCCUCCAUAAUUAAAGCUUUAUUUGAACCUCCCCCCUCCUUCCCACAUCACUCUUGGUUAGAUCAAAACAGUGGAGACAAAAACUGAAACAUGCCUGGGGUGCAGAAGGAGAGAAGAGAGACUAUUUAACGAAGCUGGCUAAUGGUGGUGAGAAGGAAAGGGGUUGAUUUUUGCGUCUCAGAACCCUUGAGCCUACAAAUAUUACUGAAAUCACAUCUGGGAACAAAGCUCUGCUUUAAGUAAGUUCACCCAUGAAUGUUGCUAAGCAAUGGAGAAAAGACAAGGGAGAGGGAGAGUGCCUGAGUUUAGGAUUAGAAGGAUAGAUAGGAGGUAUAAAAGUAAGGCUUCUAUACAGCCUUAUUUAUAUGAACUUUCAAGUUCUUUGUUUUUAUUGCCUGUCUUCCAAAUAAUUUGUACUACAAUUAAUCUGAUCUAGUACACUAUUUAUACCAAUGCACACCCAGCACGCAGAGAAUCGAGCUGCAUCUUGGAGCACUGGCACAAGCAGUAAUGCACCGGAACUGUCAACAUCUGUCUCUGGAUUAAACAGCAAGGAAGGCGAGAACAAAUCUUUUCUAUCAGCAGCAGCAGGGUUUGCUGCAGGAAGAUGAUAAUUCCCUCCUGCUACUCUGCUGACAACAACCAAGCUUCACAAGGAGGAGCAAGGCAUUUUAAUCAUGGAAUUGAAAACCACGGCAGUUUCUAAAGCCUCACCUCAACUUGGUUGAUUUACAUUAAUUUAGGAUCAACUGGCUUACAGUGAAAUUAUGCAUUGAAGAUAAGGGAGGAAGAAAAACUCAGUGUAAUUUCUAGUUUGCCUGUGCAUAAGAGGUACAUGUCUAUGUAUAUAAGUACUUUUGGAGCAUCCUGGAUAAGCAGGGACCACUGAAUUACUCAAAAGCACACUGCAAACUUGAAGGCUCCCUAAUUACACAGGAAGUGGUUUAUAAAUGCUGUACUUCAAGACACAGAGGAUUAAAUGGAAAAGAUGAAAAAUGUUACCAACUGGCUAGUCACGGUCCAAUCCAAUGCCUGCUGAAGUCAUCAGAAAACAUGUGACAGAAGCCUAGAGGUUUUGCCUGUGGCUCUUCCAUCAGAUUACUGUUAUAACAAAGGCAGUCCAUAACAGGCUUCUAAAAUAAAUGCAAAUUUUGUGUCGAAAACAGUCAGGCACCCCCAAAAUUAACAAUUUGAGCACACAGCAGCUUACAGGCAGCAGCUUUGGGCAUGUGGCACAACAUCUGUUACAAAAACACUAGAAAGCAGACCUGCAGCAAACUGGAUCACUGCCAGCUCUCAAGAUCUCCCCCCCGCCAAGGCUGUCAAGUAAAUGGACAGAUGGCAGCCAACGCACUCACAGGACAGUUAGCUCGGUUAACAAUCAAGUAUGCUAAGUGAUUUCAGAUCCACUCUGCACCAGGCAUUGUAUUUUCUAUUAAAUCAUUAACACUAUGUUCUAAUAGGAAUACAGUUUGGUAUUAAGAAACUGGCAGAUACUGUAUUUUGCAAGACAGUUUCUUUGGAACAAUUUGUCAGGGAACAUCAGAUAUGCCUUCAUGAAUAAAGUCAGAAUCUGCCAAGUCUA